CUGGCGGCGUGCCUAACACAUGCAAGUCGAACGGACGAGGGGAGCUUGCUCCCAAGUUAGUGGCGGACGGGUGAGUAACACGUGAGCAACCUGCCUUCGAGGGGGACAACAGUGGGAAACUGCUGCUAAUACCGCAUAACGUAUCCUGGAGGCAUCUCCGGGAUACCAAAGAUUUUAUCGCCGAAGGAUGGGCUCGCGUCUGAUUAGAUAGUUGGUGGGGCAACGGCCCACCAAGUCUGCGAUCAGUAGCCGGACUGAGAGGUUGAACGGCCACAUUGGGACUGAGAUACGGCCCAGACUCCUACGGGAGGCAGCAGUGGGGAAUAUUGGGCAAUGGGGGCAAACCCCCUGACCCAGCAACGCCGCGUGGAGGAAGAAGGCUUUCGGGUUGUAAACUCCUUUGACGAGGGACGAUGAUGACGGUACCUCGAAAACAAGCCACGGCUAACUACGUGCCAGCCGCUGC
rnacentral:rRNA from 1 species